GCCGGGACGUUGCGGGGCGAAGAGCUUUAUCACGGGCUGGCGGCGGCGGGAGCCUAGCUCCCUCCCUGCUCCGCCUCCCGGUGCCGAUUAACGCUCCGAGGCGCCUUCGUCACCGCUUUGAAGGGACAGCCGAGCGGCGCCGCCGGGCUGACCCGGUUGUCUGUCAGGUGCCGCGUUGCGCAAGGCGGGCAGCCGGCACCGGCGCUGCGGACGCGGCCCGUAACUGCGGCCGAACUAUGUGGUUGUUUGCACAUUAUACAACAGUGCACAACAUAAUACCACAGUACUGCUUCCCCAGCUAUGGACACAUGGACACAGUCUGACUGACGCCUCUUCAGUGUGUUCCCUUCGUAGGAUAUCCCGGGUUGGAAAGGACCCGCCAAGGAUCGCGGAGUCCAACCCGCGGCUCCUCACAGCACCACCCGAAAUUGGUUUAAAUACCUCAAUAAGAGCGCCUUGAUCAUAACGAGGACAAAACGUUUAAAGAACUUACCAAUAACAACGGGGAAACUGUGAAAGAAAGGCAUUAAUUCUUUUUCUUACAGCGUUCUCACAGCAUUUAAGGCGGGGAGGAAAGUGUUGGAACGCAGAAGUAAAUUUGGUUGUGUCCUUGUCAUCAUGGUUACUGUUCUGACCGCUUCCACUGACCCCUGCAAGGAGCUAUGGGCUAACCAGGCUCUUGGGAAUACUUUCAUCCUGGCACCAAAUAGAAACUGAACUUCUUCCACUGUUACUUCUCACACCGUGACCAGUCAAAAAAGGGACUUGGAGGAGGGAGACAGAAGGAAAAAAGCAACCAAACGAGUCACCACUCCUUUACUUCACAAGAUCCUAAAAUUAAAUGAUGACAAAGAAAUUAACCCAGGGCCUUACCUGGACGGUGCUGUAAACAUGUGCUGGCUUAAUGCUCAGCUGUAAUUAAAGAAACAAGCAAGAUGCCAGGAUGCAUAAAGAAUGGGAUGAGGAGGAGUACAGAAAUAUAGAAGCUGUGUGUGUCAUCUGAGUGGCGUAUUCUCCUGCGUGCUUCUCGCUGAUGUCACACCACACCUCCAUUCCUGAGCAAGGCUCCAAAGCUCAGGGAAGAGAGUGAAAAAAGAGCUGGAUAUUUGUACUGGUAGGGCAGGAAACACAGAGAAGCAGUAGCUCUAUCUGGCUCUGGGCAUCCACAUUAGAGUAUGGAAACCAUCGCUUAAGAGAAUAAAUAAAGAAACGCAGUUGCAGCAUUAAGGAUCACUAACAUUGAGAAAAAGUAAUUUUUCUACCCGUGUCGUUUUGGAUGAAGCACACCUCCUAAGUACAUCUGGAAAGCUUUGUCAUAGCCUCAUGAAUCCCUGGAUUAGCAAAGGAAAACUAUUCACAGUGUGCCAUAAUGAAAAGCACGCUUUCACAAAACGGAGCAAGUGAUUCAUUCUUCAAGUGAAGUUCUGCAGAGCGCCGUCUCCUUAAAAAUGACAGUGACAAACUAAUGAUAAUUAUUUGGGUUGCUCCUCCUCUUGCAGUGCUAUUUAGUUAGAAGCAACAGCUUCAAAGUACCUUAUGAGUCCCUGAAUAUAUUUAGGUCCAGUAACACCUACAUUUGUCUUUGCGCGUUCUACAGCUGGACUCUAGACAUAGGGCCCAGCGUGGCUGCUUUUGCUUCUCAGGGCGUUGGUAACUAACCAGAUGCACUUCAUUUUCCUUUAUGUAACAGCUGUUGCAAAGUCAAAAAGUCAAUAGCAUUGGAGCGUCCAACAGUUCAAGGAUGUAUCUCACAGUCAGGUGACACACUCUUGCACAUAGGGUUAUUUUUGUGAAUACGUGAGGUAAAAAUUGACAUAUUGUGCUGCACUACACGCACAACCCCAUCAACCUAAUGGGAAGACGGUCAAGCAGCAGAUAAUAAAAAUACUUUCAUGAUCUAAAUGAACGGAUGAACUAAUAAAAAAAUAAAAUUUACUUACCUCAGAAAAUUGAAAGCUUUUUUUGUUGUUGUUUUUUAAGAGAAUGGC
ensembl:lncRNA